rnacentral:rRNA from 1 species
UACGUAUGGAGCGAGCGUUGUCCGGAUUUACUGGGUGUAAAGGGUGCGUAGGCGGCAAUGCAAGUCAGGCGUGAAAGCUCGGGGCUUAACCCCGAAACUGCGCUUGAAACUGUGUUGCUUGAGUGAAGUAGAGGUAGGCGGAAUUCCCGGUGUAGCGGUGAAAUGCGUAGAGAUCGGGAGGAACACCAGUGGCGAAGGCGGCCUACUGGGCUUUAACUGACGCUGAGGCACGAAAGCAUGGGUAGCAAACAGG